AUUGAACGCUGGCGGAAUGCUUUACACAUGCAAGUCGAGGGGUAGAAGAGGCUUGCUUCUUUGAGACCGGCGCACGGGUGCGUAACGCGUAUGCAACCUACCUUCAUCUGGGGGAUAGCCCGGAGAAAUCCGGAUUAAUACCGCAUAAAAUCACAGGAUGGCAUUAUCCAAUGAUCAAACAUUUAUGGGAUGGAGAUGGGCAUGCGUGUCAUUAGCUAGUUGGCGGGGUAACGGCCCACCAAGGCGACGAUGACUAGGGGAUCUGAGAGGAUGGCCCCCCACACUGGUACUGAGACACGGACCAGACUCCUACGGGAGGCAGCAGUAAGGAAUAUUGGUCAAUGGAGGCAACUCUGAACCAGCCAUGCCGCGUGCAGGAAGACUGCCCUAUGGGUUGUAAACUGCUUUUAUUCGGGAAUAAACCUUAUUACGUGUAAUAAGCUGAAUGUACCGAAGGAAUAAGGAUCGGCUAACUCCGUGCCAGCAGCCGCAGUAA
rnacentral:rRNA from 1 species